rnacentral:rRNA from 1 species
CGCGAACCCACGAGCGUUGAAAAGCUCGGGGAUGACUUGUGGGUAGCGGUGAAAUUCCAAUCGAGCCCGGAGAUGUCUGGUUCUCCCCGAAAUAGGUUUAGGGCGUGCCUCAAGGUGAGGGAUACGGAGGUAGAGCACUGAAUGUCCUAGGGGGUAUAGAACCUACCGAAGACUAUCAAACUGCGAAUGCCGUCAUCUUAUACUUGGGAGUCAGACUGUGGGUGAUAAGAUUCAUAGUCGAAAGGGCAACAGCCCAGAUCGUAAGCUAAGGUCCCUAAAUGUAAGUUAAGUGGUAAAGGAUGUGGGAUUGAACAGACAACCCGGAUGUUGGAUUAGAAGCAACGACUCAUUCAAAGAGUGCGUAAUAGCUCACUGGUCGCGUGAUCCUGCGCCGAAGAUUUCCGGGGAUAAAGCUUGCUAACGAAGGUACGGACACCGUAAUUCUGGUUCGGGUGACUUCCCGUACGGGUUGCAGCCUUGCAGGCCGGACAUGUGG